CUUACCACCUCCCAGCUGUGUCAGACUAGGUAGGGCUUGUGUGAUCAUUUGGAUCAGGAGUUGAUCUGGCUAAAACCUAAUUCUGCAAAUGAGUAAGUGAGAAAGAUUUAUAUUUAACUCAGUUCACUUAUCUAAUCAAGUUCUCUGCAAAGCCCUACAAACUGUUGUACUGGCAAAAUGAGGGAAUGAUGGAGGAAUGGAAAUGAGUAACCUGAGAUGAGGGCAAGGACUACAUUGGGAGUGAAAUUCUGCUACAGAAAUGGGUAAUGUAAAGGUUUUUCAGCAUCACUGAUUGGUGAGAAAGAGCUGUUAUCCCCAUACUAUGAUGGGAAAAUUGAGCAUGUCUACAUUGCAGAACACCAGACACAAAUGAGCACCUCUGCCAGCAGAAGCCAUCUCACACAGGUCUUAUUCUCUUCCUGCCAUAUCCACACUUGUGCUGUGCAGGCACACUGAUAGCACUGUCAAAAAGUUAAUUCCUGUUAAAAUUAACUGCUUUACUGGCAAGUUAGUGUUAAUUUGAUGACUUUUCUGCUUUGGUUCAGUCUGCUGUUGCACAAACUCUUAUGUAAGCAAAAGGGAAAGAUGACUUGGGGGCAAUAGGGGGAAGGAACAGAUCUGGUGGAACACAGGCUGCUUUGGUCAUCAGAGGAGCCUGCUGUCAGCUCAUCGUGUUUACAGAACUAAAGCAUAAGCUUACCCUUAAAAGCAAUUCUAUAUCUGACUUUCUCUGAAAUCAAUGCUCUGAAUAUAUCUGAUAUGUCAGAUGUUUCUAAUAGUACAUAUAAUAACAUAAAUAUGCUUCCUAAGAAUACAUACAAAAAGCCAUUUCAAUCCCAGAGGACAAGGAAGCCUUUUAGGAGUAGGAAAAAUCUCAUAGAUUUAACCAAUAUAACAAUGCUAAUAAAUGAAAUAAAGAAAUGUGCAGCUUGUCCUGAGAAUGGUACUGUCAAAAAAACCUCUUCCACAAUCUGUUUCUGCACUGGUGGGAGGAGGGACUGUUUUGUAGGGUGAUUCCUUUUAAUCAUAUACAUGCCUUAAGGGCACAAGAUGCUGGCAACGUGGCCAAUCCAAAAGAGAUCGUGGAUUAAUGCUUGUGAAAAGCAGUCCUAGCUAUUCCUUUGUGCAUUGUCCAAACAGCAAAUGAUAACACUGCCUUAAGUCACCCAGUGUUACACCUUCCUAUCCAUAGUGUGAUUCUCCCAAAAAGUUGGACAGAAAUCAGUUUUGUUUCUCUGUCUGCAUUCUCUCUUCUGUGUAACUUCAUCUGUUCAGGUUUUCUCUGUAGUACAGCACACACUGCUGAUGCUGAGGGUCCUGCAUGACAGGAGCAGAAUGACAGAACCUUUCACUGAGAAAUGCAGAAAAGCUAUCUUGUCUAAGUGCUGCAUGUCAAGCCAGUGAUGAGGCAUGCACUCUAAAUGCAUUUAUUCCUGAAUUGUUGCAAUUAGGUCCUUCAGUUCACUAGCUUCAUGGUAACGUUUUCCAUUUUUCUAUGAAAAGAAAUAAUAAAAAAAAAAAGGAUGGAAAAUGAAGAACAUCUUGAAUUCAGGACUUACGUGUCACAGGUAAAUGAGAUAAAAGUUACACUCACUGAGAGACAAUGUCUGUCUUGUGGCUGAACACCUGAGGCUGUCAUGACUGAACCAUUUUUGACAUAUUUUUCAAGAAACUACCAGAGACUGCUAUGAUCCUCACAAGUUCAUCACAUUAGGUACAGUCAAGUUAAUUAGCAACUAAAGUUCUUGUUCUCAGAUCAUUCACAUUGCAUAUUAUUCCUUAUUUCUACUUGCUGUUGGGAAGUUAUUUGCACUUUAAAAUGAGGAUGAGUUAUAAUGCUCAAUAGCUGCUUGUUUGUUUGUUUAACUUAAAUACGUUGUGGCAGAUCUUUUCUAAGGACUUUUCAGUCAUGUGCUACUCCAUCCAACAUUCCCAGUAUCAAAUGCUGUAUAUAUUCUCAGCUAGGACUACGGUUCACUUAGUACACAGACACAAAGAGUGAAUAGGACCAGUUUUGUCCUAUCACAAAAAAACCACCCAUGACAGAAGGUCUGUUAUGAGCUUUACAAAUUACAGAGUGACAUCUUGUAUGCAUUGAGGUCAACAGUGUUUUUUCCACUGAUUUUGGAUGACACAAGGUUAAAUGCGAAGAGUAUGAUACUCUUUCCAUGAAUAACACUAGUGUUUGAAACUAAAACCUCACUAGAAGUAUAUGUUCACCUAUAUAGCCAAAAUCUGUCACUGAGCCUGUAUCACGCAAAAGCUAUAAACAUUGCUUUAAUCAGCUCUGGCUCUGUACAAAAACAAAAACAAACAAACAAACAAACAAAAACCCUAAGUCAUGAGGAAUAAAUCUGUGCUUGCAAUUACUCAAAUUGGUUCAAAGAUAUUUUACUUUGCUCUGUUGGCAAUUAUAUUUGUCAGAUCGUUCAUUUUAUUGGUUGAUGCUACAUUUUUGUAGAUGCCUCUUGUUUUAUUAUUUCUUAUUUAAAGGAGCUGGGAGUCAUUUCUGUUCUAUCUGCAAAAACAAGCAGCAAACAGCUUAAAUGCCAUUGCUUUUCUCACACCUCUGGGAUGAUUACAUAAGACACAAACAUCCAGAGGAGAAAAAAAAAAAAAAACAAACUCAGAAGAGCAGAUCUCUUCAUUUACUUCUCUUUUUAUUCAGUCUUAUUAGAGAUAUACAACAGAUUAUCAAUUGCAGCUUUUAAAAUGAAAGAUAUAUACUGAUGCCAAAUAUAGAUUAUUGGAAUUAUUUUAGGUACUGCUUCUGAAAUAAAUAAAUAAAUAAAUAAAUUGUAAAGACAGCAUUCCAUGUACAAUUAUCAUUCCAUGGAAACACAACAGUAAAUGCCAGUUACUUCACUGUGUAUCCCCUGCCAUCUUUGGCACCCGGGCCUUCUCCUUGCACAAGACAGCCUGCAGUUUAUAAAAAAAAAAAAAAAAAACGGCAGCCAGAUAGAAUUGAGGCUUAGCAGGUCUGUGGCAGCAGUACUGUACAGUAGCUUCAGCAGUGAGGACAGAAGUCAGGAGAAUGUGCACAGUGGCAGAAGGCUGGCACUGCACAGCUUCAGCCCUCCCAUCCAUAUCAGGAGUAGAGGAAUAAAGAGUAAUAGGGAAGAAAUUUCAGGGUACCUUUAUUUUGAUUACGUGCUCAUUUGGACUCAUUUGGAUGUACAGUUCUUUUUGGUAGGGUUUGAAAUACAUGUUAACCUGAUUGCUUUUGGUGACAGAGUACACUGUAAGCACAGAUUUGUACAAAACCCCAUGAAGGAGGUCAGGAUAGGUUUCAUGGGCCAGCCUUCAACCCAGCAAGAGCAGCUGAACUGCACCAUUAGUAACAGAAGUCUUUUGAAUCUGCUUUUCAAGGACUCUUGCCCCAGAACAUCCAAAUUCUUGCCCAGUACAAUCUGUCUCUGUGCUUCAGGAUCCUUAUCAUUAAAGGUCUUUCCUUACUUUGAAAUGAAAAUUAUUAUUUCUUUUCUGGUAAAGGACACCACAGGGAACAUACAGGUCUUUUUUGAUGGAAAACCAUUCUCAGUAGAAUGUAGUAUGUAUUCAUAAAAGUGUGUAAUUAUAUACACAUCUGUAGAGUACACAAAUGUCGAGAUCUUCUUUGUGAUGUUUCUCUUUUCAUACUUCAAUACAUGAGUCUCUACAAGAACAAUCUUCCUGUGCUGUAUGAGGUCUAGAAAAGAUGAGAAUGUUCUUACACAAGUUUUGUCUUUUCAUAAUUUAAGUAUAUAGUGUAAACUUUAGGUUCUGUGUCUUCAUAAACUAUGCAUGGAGAACAAACUCCUUGUAGAUUGACUCUUCUUCCAUCAACCAUGGAGGGGAUGUGAUCAUCUAGUUUUAGAAGGUUAAAGCAAACAAGAUACAGAUUUGUAUUCCUACAUUUAGGACAUUGUAGACAUAUUCUAUGUACAGUUUCAAAACAACAACAACAACAACAACCUUUGAUCCAGCAGCAUACACACCUGUACAUAUAUCCUUCUCACUACCUCUUCUCUGAUAGGUUUCUCAGCCCUAAAUUACUUUACCACAAGAGCUUUUCUCAACAUGUCAGUGACAAGCACAGUGGUCUCCAUCUACACUAUGAAAGAAAUAUCUCUUAGUACACAUGUGAAGCAGACGUUGCCAUUUGUUGUGAUUUUUCUGAUGUGAUAUGACUAUUUGAGGAUGUAAGGAACACAACCAAAAGCCAUGAAGUCAUCUGAUUAUAUUUCUAGACACAGUAAAUCAGUAUUUUGCCUUUAGUCAGCAGAACUGUACUAUUUAAUGCAAGCUGAGGGCCUGAUUAACAGGACUCCUGAGGAUGAAGGAGCGCACAUAGCCACUCUUGUUACUAUGGUUCACUGUCAGCUAAGUAUCUGUACAAGGAGAGGCAAUAUAAAAAAAAAAUACUCUCCUAUUUCAUUUUGUUUUUUUAAUGUGUAUGUGUAGAUUAAGUGUGAAUAUUUUCGUUUUCUGUUUUAGUGCUGGAGUGAGAAUGAGUAGAAAGGAACAGAGUGCGAAGAGAAGAAUAAGAUAAAAAUGGAAAGCAGAAAUCCUGAGCUGGCCCCACUGAACAACGUGUUCAAACAGCUCUCACACCAACCUCAACUGAGAGAGUGGAUUUUAAAUAAAUAAAUAAAUAAAUAAAACAUUCUUUUUUAUGCUUUACUAUUUGCCACACUUGAGCGCACCUCUAAAAAAAGAUAAGUAAAAUAUUAAAAAGAUGUUUUAAAAGAAUAUAUAAAACCAGUGGAAGAAAGACAGGUAACCUUUGAUAAAAGGAACUUGUGAGAAGACACAUGGGAAUGUAAGAAAAAGUUGAACACAGAUGCUACAGUGGUAAAAAGAUGGAGUAGGAAGCUCAGUAAGCAACUGGGAGAGAACAGAGCCACAAAAUACACCAGCAAGAAUUAGCUUACUGGUUCUGAUGCCAAGGUGAAGAGGACAAAACCAAAAGAAAGACGUCUAAACAAUGUAAGAAGACAGUUUUUAUGUAAUAGAUAUUUGGCUGUAUAUUCUUCGAUCAAACAUGUUUGAUUAAAGUUAAUUUUACUAGAGGCUACCUGUUUUGAAUUCUGUUUUCCACAGAAGGUAUUUUUUCUCAGAAAAUGACCUAUUUUGGAAACCAACCCUCAGAACACAGGAGUCUGCCUUUGUGGAAGUGUUCGUUGUCUUGUGGAGAAGAGGGAAAGUUGAGUGAGAAGCAACACACCUCUGUCUCCCCAGGCUAUUCUUGGCUCAUUCACUUCCCUGAGCAUUAAAUUCAUUCACAAAUUGGGAACUUAUCCCGCUGUUACUUUCUAGCACAUUUGAUAAAGUGAUGAAUCCUGAAUUAGUAUUGCAGUGUUGCUAAGUUUUGAUAAAUGUGCUUAUAAAUUCAUUGCUGCAGAAGAAAAGUCUCUUCUUUAAUCAGAAAUCCUGCUGCUGUCAAUGACAGAAAUAUAGCUUGAAACGAAACAUUCUGAAGAAAGCACCUUGUUAAGAUGUAAUUUUCUUCGUACAUGGCUUUAACAACAACCCAGCCCUAUUUGCAGAGCUAUGGCAUUAGCCUUUACACACCAAAAAUGCUUAGGCUUUUAGUAAACCUAGCAAAUAUUUUGCGGUGCGGCUGACACAUUAACAUGUGUAUUAGUGAGCAGUUGUCCAUAAGGAAUUUGUCAGACUGUCAACAAAGACUAAGACAGCCAGUCCAGUCCCUGCUAAGUGUAAAAACACCUGGAGAUCACAGCAAUCACUCAGAAGGGAAUUAAAGUAAUAGAUUAAUUGACCGUAAGAAUCAUUUUCCUUGUUCAUGAAUCUGGAUUUCCCUUGGCUGCCAGAAUUGUAGAUGAAAGAGAAAAACAUCCUUGACCUUUUCCGUCAAAGAAAAUGCUUCUCUCUUUGUCUAACACACAAAAAUGUGGACUAUUUGAGUGAUUUAAAAGGUCUGAGAAUUGCAAACAAACAAACAAACAAAAAAGAGUGUCAAUAAAAUAGUAUUCAGCUUCUCAUUUAUUCUGCUGUGUCUUGACCCAUUAAGAGGUGUUAGUGAACAUUUCAAAAGUUGUCAGCUUGUACCCUUCUAGUCUACCACACUUCCUGACUUUAAAGCCUGUGAUGCAGCUCUAACAGUUAGUCUGUGAACGCAGUAUUAACACAUGAAAUAAGGCUGCAUGGAUCUUAAAAAACAGUACUGUCUGGAGAAAGGUG
ensembl:lncRNA